UACAGAGGGGGCAAGCGUUGUUCGGAAUUACUGGGCGUAAAGGGCGCGUAGGUGGCCUUCUAAGUUGAACGUGAAAUCCCUGGGCUCAACCCAGGAACUGCGUCCAAGACUGGGAGGCUUGAAUCCGGGAGAGGUGAGUGGAACUGCGAGUGUAGAGGUGAAAUUCGUAGAUAUUCGCAAGAACACCAGUGGCGAAGGCGGCUCACUGGCCCGGUACUGACGCUGAGGUGCGAAAGCGUGGGGAGCAAACAGG
rnacentral:rRNA from 1 species